UACGGAAGGCAGCAGUGGGGAAUAUUGCACAAUGGGCGCAAGCCUGAUGCAGCCACGCCGCGUGUAUGAAGAAGGCCUUCGGGUUGUAAAGUACUUUCAGUCGUGAGGAAGGUGUUAAGGUUAAUAACCUUAGCAAUUGACGUUAGCGACAGAAGAAGCACCGGCUAACUCCGUGCCAGCAGCCGCGGUAAUACGGAGGGUGCGAGCGUUAAUCGGAAUUACUGGGCGUAAAGGGCACGCAGGCGGUUAAUUAAGUUGGAUGUGAAAUCCCCGGGCUUAACCUGGGAAUGGCAUUCAAGACUGGUUAGCUAGAGUCUUGUAGAGGGGGUAGAAUUCCAUGUGUAGCGGUGAAAUGCGUAGAGAUGUGGAGGAAUACCGGUGGCGAAGGCGGCCCCUGGACAAAGACUGACGCUCAUGUGCGAAAGCGUGGGGAGCAAAC
rnacentral:rRNA from 1 species